rnacentral:rRNA from 1 species
CACGCCGUAAACGAUGGGUACUAGGUGUGGGUAGUUCACUCUAUCCGUGCCGCAGCAAACGCAUUAAGUACCCCGCCUGGGGAGUACGGCCGCAAGGUUAAAACUCAAAGGAAUUGACGGGGGCCCGCACAAGCAGUGGAGUAUGUGGUUUAAUUCGAAGCAACGCGAAGAACCUUACCAGGGCUUGACAUCCUCGGACGACACUAGAGAUAGUGUUUUCUCUUCGGAGACUGAGAGACAGGUGG